CAUUAUUGUAUAACUGAGGGUGCUUAAGGCUGUUGCUAACCUUGAAAAGAAGGUUGUGCACGUCCAAGUGCUCUCUUUACAUUCAUUUCACCUCUCUGUGCAUCACCGCGUUGGCCCCCCCCCCCCCCUUUUUCUGAAGGGAAGGAGAAAGGCUUGCGUUUUUAUACAUACACCAUAUUUAAUGCAUGUAUAGAAAGUCUUACUUUGUUGCGAUCACACGCAGCCAAUAAUACAACUUUCAACAACGGAUCUCUUGGCUCUCGCAUCGAUGAAGAACGCAGCGAAAUGCGAUAUGUAAUGUGAAUUGCAGAAUUCAGUGAAUCAUCGAAUCUUUGAACGCACCUUGCNCCCUUUGGUAUUCCGAGGGGCACACCCAUUUGAGUGUCAUGAACACCCUCAACCCUUUUUUGGUUUCUUGACCAGGAAGGAUUGGACUUUGGAGGUUUUUACCUUGCUGGUCUUCUUUGAAGCCAGCUCCUCCUAAAUGCAUUAGUGGGAUCCACUUUGCUGAUCCUUGACGUGAUAAGUAUGCUUCUACGUCUUGUGUUCUGCAACUGUUGCCUUGGGACCUGCUUCCAACUGUCUCUUAAAUGAAGACAAUGUUUGACACAGAAACCUUGACCUCAAAUUGGGUGAGACUACCCGCUGAACUUAAGCAUAUCAAUAAGCGGAGGAAAAGAAACUAACAAGGAUUCCCCUAGUAACUGCGAGUGAAGCGGGAAAAGCUCAAAUUUAAAAUCUGGUGGCCUUUGACCAUCCGAGUUGUAAUUUAGAGAAGCGUGUUCUGCGCUGGACCGUGCACAAGUCUCCUGGAAUGGAGCGUCAUAGAGGGUGAGAAUCCCGUCUUUGGCACGGAACCCCAGGGUUUCUGUGAUGCGCUCUCGACGAGUCGAGUUGUUUGGGAAUGCAGCUCAAAAUGGGUGGUGAACUCCAUCUAAAGCUAAAUAUUGGCGAGAGACCGAUAGCGAACAAGUACCGUGAGGGAAAGAUGAAAAGCACUUUGGAAAGAGAGUGAAACAGUACGUGAAAUUGUUGAAAGGGAAACGCUUGAAGUCAGUCGCGUUGACUGAGACUCAGCCUUGCCUUGGCUUGGUGUAUUUCUCAGCUUAACGGGUCAGCAUCAAUUUUGAUCCUUGGAUAAUGGCAAAGGAAAGGUAGCACCUUUUUAGGUGUGUUAUAGUUCUUUGUCGCAUAUAAGGGUUGGGAUUGAGGAACUCAGCAUGCACCUUUUGGUGUCGGGGCCCU
rnacentral:rRNA from 1 species